UACGGAGGGUGCAAGCGUUAUCCGGAUUCACUGGGUUUAAAGGGUGCGUAGGAGGGCAGGUAAGUCAGUGGUGAAAUCUUCGAGCUUAACUCGGAAACUGCCGUUGAUACUAUCUGUCUUGAAUAUUGUGGAGGUGAGCGGAAUAUGCCAUGUAGCGGUGAAAUGCUUAGAUAUGACAUAGAACACCAAUUGCGAAGGCAGCUCGCUACACAUAUAUUGACUCUGAGGCACGAAAGCGUGGGGAUCAAACAGG
rnacentral:rRNA from 1 species